UACGUAGGGGGCUAGCGUUAUCCGGAAUUACUGGGCGUAAAGGGUGCGUAGGUGGUUUCUUAAGUCAGAAGUGAAAGGCUACGGCUCAACCGUAGUAAGCUUUUGAAACUGUCUGACUAGAGUCUUGUAGAGGGGGGUAGAAUUCCAGGUGUAGCGGUGAAAUGCAUAGAUAUCACGCAGAACUCCGAUUGCGAAGGCAGCUUACUAAGCUACAACUGACACUGAAGCACGAAAGCGUGGGGAGCAAACA
rnacentral:rRNA from 1 species